rnacentral:lncRNA from 1 species
CAUAUACUUGAUAAUCAUGUAAACUGUGUAUCCUACAUCCAUUAAGUUGCAUAUCUUUAGGAUUUGAUCCCAAUUUAUCCAUAUGGCAUGAUCAUGGCAAUGACUCAAUUAAACUCGUGCAAGAUUUGUGCAUGAGCGGGCUACUCUUUAGUUUCAUCAACUCUCAACAUGUAGCAUAUUGAUAUUACGAAAGAAGUUGCAUUCUCUACUCUCUAGAUCAUAGAUUCUUUUGAGCAGUUCCACAGCAGUGUUGGAAAAUGCUCUGUCUCUUGCUAAGCGAUAAGUGACAUGGGAACUGCGACAAGGGGAGUAGUAAUGCUUGAUCUUUCCUCUUCUACUUCU